rnacentral:rRNA from 1 species
GAUGAACGCUGGCGGCGUGCCUAAUACAUGCAAGUCGAGCGAACGGACGAGAAGCUUGCUUCUCUGUUGUUAGCGGCGGACGGGUGAGUAACACGUGGAUAACCUACCUAUCAGACUGGGAUAACUUCGGGAAACCGGAGCUAAUACCGGAUAAUAUUUUGAACCGCAUGGUUCAAAAGUGAAAGACGGUCUUGCUGUCACUUAUCGAUGCAUUCGCGCUUCAUUAGCUAGUUGGUAAGGUAACGGCUUACCACGGCAACGAUGCAUAGCCGACCUGUGAGGGGGAUCGGCCACACAGGAACUGAGACACGGUCCAGGCUCCGACGGGAGGCAGCAGUAGGGAAGCGUCCGCAAUGGGCGAAAGCCUGACGAAGCAGCGCCGGGUGGGUGAUGAAGGGCUUCGGAUGGUAAAACGCUGUUAUGAGGGAAGAACAUAUGUGUAAGUAACUGUGCACAUCUGGACGGUACCUAAUCAGAAAGCCACGGCAAACUACGU